UGUGGGUGCAACAGGACCAGUCACCCCGUGCUCUGCUGCAGACCCGUUCCUGACAUAAUGAACUAUACCUUCAAGCCAUGAGCCAGAAAAAAAUGCUUCCUUUUUAAAAUUGCGUUUGAGAGAUACUUGGUCAUAGCAACAAGAAAGGGUUAAUACACCUGCCUUUUUGCAACCCUAUCUGCAAGAAUCAAAGGUGGAAGCAACUGCUCCAACCCUCAGCCGACUCAUAGGAGGUGUAUUGUAUCUCAGGAUGGCCUUGAACUCACUUUGCAGCCAAUGACAACUUUGAACUUUUGAUCUCCUGCCUUCCACCUCUAGAGUGCUGGGAUUACAGACAUACAGAACCACGACUGGUUUAUGUAGUGCUUAGGAUGGAACCCAGGACUUCCUGCAUGCCAGGCUUCUGAUUACUGACGCACAGAACACCAUCUUUAAAUGACCCUAAGGUACGACAGUUUCAACUUCUAAUCUACAAAUGAAACAGAGACCUGGAAGAGCUUAGUGACUUUAUCAAGUAAUACUCGGGGCUGUGUUAAGAAGCCACAUAUGGCAACUCUUUCCUCUAAUAAAUAUGAACCCGUCAUAGCCGAUGGACCCUUUUAAAAGGAUAAAAAAACGCUUGGUCGAAAUUAGCCCGCUUUGCUAUUUGUUGAUACUCAAGCACUGAAUUGUCCCUCAAUUCAGUGCUUGACUCAAGUCAGGAUCUUAAAAUGCAGAGGCUGUGCUUCCAGCCCUGAGGUAUAAUGGCACAGUCUCAUCAGGACAUCAUCAGAGUCUGGCACAUAGUAGGCCUUCAUUAUAUUUUGGCGGUCACAUUUGGCAGGAAAGCGUGUUGUGCCUGGGAACAAGGUCACAGAGCGAGAAGAAUGGCCCCCACGUCAGCCUGCCUCUGUGUCUGUGACCACUGAGGAGUCCCCUCGUUCAAAGGCCGUUUGCCUGACUUCUCCAGCCGGCCUUCAGUGGAACCUGUUGAGUUGGGGAGAAAUGGCAGAGCGGUCGCAUAGCUGUGCCUAGAAGACAGAAAACAUUCGAUUCUCCAUGACUAUGUUUCUCACUGCACAUUUUAGGAGACUAAAUACGUGCAGGGCCUCCGGGAAGUUCUUAUGCCCUCUUAUUAAUUUUGAAAACACUUAACUCUGCUAAGGGUUAGACUUGGAGCCUUGCUGAUGCCAGGCAAGCACCUACCACUGCGCUACAUCCCCAACCUCACACUAUAAUCAGAGAUUAGCUGCUUUUAAAAGGCUACAAAGAGUGAUGAUGUUGGCAACAUAAUAAAUACAUAUGAUAGGUACUGUGGAGGGCAGAUUUAGGUACAUUGUUUAUUUUUUCUUCAUAAUCUAAAGGAGUUUCGAACGUCACCACCAUCAUCUCCCCUUACCACAUGAACAUAAUGUUGUUUUGAAAUAUUACAUAGUAUACUCAGAAGUACACAAUUUAGAAGGAUCAGAAUCAGGAAACAAGCCUUGAGAGAUCUUUAGCAUCCAUCUUAAGCACGGCUAAAUACUACCUCCAUCCUGACAGCACUGAUUUUAGUAUUUGUCUUCCAUAUUUCCAGACACCUGGGUUUGGAAGACCUGUGAUAUUCUAAUGUCCUAUAACCGUAGAGUUCAUCAACAGAAGUUCAUGGCCCUGACUGCUGGAUCUUCUGAGAGGGCAUUCUCUCAUAUAUUUCAGGAAAGGAAUGAUUUUGUUUUGGUCUUGAAAGUAUUUUAAAAACAAGAUCAUGGAACUGUGUUUUUGGCCUACGUGGGGUGGGAACCUGCAGACUGACCUCUGUAAGCUGCAGGAAGGACCAACUCCCCUUCUCCCCAGGCUGCAGGGAUUUUUCUCGUCUCCCUCGAUUGAGAACACAUGACUGAUGCUCAGAAUUCUCCACACCUUUGUUUCCUGGAAGAGGAAAUGGCAUUUCCGGGAGAGGAUGGUGUGUGGGUGGCUAGAUUCUACCCAUGGUGUUAAAAACACCCCGAACUUUCAGUGGCGUAUUUCUUUUCCCCUUCAGUGUCUGCCCUAAAGUUUCCCAGAAUUGCCGAGUACAGAAUGAAGCCAGUUACUUCAUUCCGGCAGGGAAAGAUGCAUUCUGACUCUGGACCCUGAGAGCUAAGGAAUGAGCGAUUCCGGACUUCUUCCUGGACCUGUUGCAACUUGGCAAAGAAGCCAGGCAUCACUUUGCUUUUCUCUUGGACUUAGUUGACGACUGAGGCUCCAUCUCUUACGGAAACCACCUCUUGCGCUUUCCGUGGGAUUGGCCUUUCCUAAGGGACUCAGGAUAGAGAGCACAAAAAACAUGUCCUAGUUUGAGCCUCAGUUUGGAGAACAAUGGUAUUUCGGAGAAGUAGGAUGUGGCAAACGCAGACAACUUGAGGACAGUGUCGCGAGACAAGAACAUUUCUCCCUACAGAAAACCACUGUGUGGAGAACAUCAAUCCGGAUGAUUUUUUGAAGACUUUGGCACCCAGACAUCCUCUUUUCAGAGCCUAGCAGAGACUUUGCAAAGCUGCCUACCUUAGUCUCCUGAAGGACUUAGAGGACGAUGAACUACUUUAACCAAAGGCUCAAGUAACACGUAAAUUUAUUCAGAGUGUGUGAAAGUUAUGGAUAGGUAAAAGUGACAGAGGGAUGAGUGAAAUUGGGCAUUUUUGUUGGGAGUAACUGAACUCCAGUUCCUGGGGUUUAUUUGUUUGCUGAAUUUUGUUUGGUUCUUUGAGCAGGGUGUAAUGAGGCCCUGACUGGCCUCAGACUCAUUACAUAGCUGAGGAGAACCUUGAACCUCUGAUCCUCCUGACUACAAAUUCCCAAGUGCUGAGUCUACAAGCGUGCAUCUCCAGUUGCUGGUGAUGAUGAGGCUGCUGUCAGCUUUGCAGACUGAUUUGGAACAGUGAAAGAUGAAGCCAAUUCAAUCUAUGAUAAUAAUAAAAAAGUGGCUAUAUUUUUUUAAA